UGCGCAGACGGGACGCUGAUCACAUCCACGAUGAGAGGACUCGCACUGCUCUGUUUGGUGGGAUUUAUUCUCACAGCUUCGCAUUCAGCUAGAGCUACAACUACCAGAAUACCCACCUCUAUCUGGCAUGCUCUAUCCUCUAAUAAUACUCGUUCAUCACCUAGAAAUGGUACACAGGCCAUUCAUCACAACAAUACAGUGGAAGCAACAGUUGAACCAACAGUGAAAGAAGACGCACCAAAUGUGCUCUAAAAACUUCAAAGAAAGACACCGUUCGACUGAUGACUGUUCAUCACAACAUGUCAUUGGAAGCAACAGCGAAAGAAGACGUAUCCAAGAGACGCUAAAAAGAUGAAAACAUGAAACCUCCCAGAGACAGACCACAAAAUCUGUUAGUUUCACUGCCUUCUCUGAAUAAACAUUAAAAGGCUGUAUUUAAAACAAA